CUCCAACCUUGUUGAAUCGUCGUGUCUCUCAUACCAAUUCAUACUGUGAUGUCAGCAAGCACACACACCACAUGCAUGCGCAGUCUCCUGAGAAUCAUAGCUCAAUGAUUCUCAAACAGGUUUAUUUAAUAAAGUGAGAACUGACUGGUAUUCAGACUAAAUUCAAAGUGAAUUGAAAAAUUUGGACCAAAAUAUUUCAAAAGGAAGCACAGCUCACUUUGAGAAUUUUUCCAGCUAAUCUAUUUUUGCCUUAAAUUUGAAAUUCACAUCGAGAGGCGCGCAUGUGCCUAGAUCUACG